CACUACGAUUGUGGUGACCAGGUACAUCACAGAACCAUGGUCACAUAGGGCAUGACGUACCUGAUAAAAGUACAAAAGAACAAUGGACCAUCUUUAAAACACUGUUGGAUGAUACAACACAUAAGUACAUACCUUGGAGAAACAAAUAAAGGAGAAAUAAAAGAUUUAUAGACCUGAAAUAAGAUGACAGAUCCUCUGAAUGAAUCUUCUUCAAUUCAUUAUCAUGUCUCCUCCAUUGAUUUCUUUCUUUGUGCCAUAAAACCAUGAGGUAUCAUGCUUGCUUCACGGUAGUCUUUUAUUAAUGGAAUAUCUAUUCCUCUUUAUUUUGUCUUAGGUGCCACAUUCUUAGCACUCAUUG